AGUAGGGGAAGCGCAGCGAAAGCGAGUCUUAAUAGGGCGGUUUUAGUUGCUGGGUGUAGACCCGAAACCAGAUGAUCUAACUCAUGGCCAGGAUGAAGCGAGGGUAACACCUCGUGGAGGUCCGAACCCACUAAUGUUAGAAAAUUAGGGAUGAGCUGUGGUAGGGGUGAAAAGGCUAAACAAAAUCUGGAAAUAGCUAGGUUCUCUCCGAAAACUAUUUAGGUAGUGCCUCACGUAUCACCUUUGGGGGUAGAGCACUGUUAUGGCUAGGGGGUCAUUGAGACUUACCAAACCAUUGCAAACUCCGAAUACCAAAGAGUGCGAGCGUGGGAUACAGACAUCGGGUGCUAACGUCCGGUGUCAAAAGGGAAACAACCCAGACCCUCAGCUAAGGUCCCCAAGACACAGUUAAGUGGGAAACGAAGUGGGU
rnacentral:rRNA from 1 species